UACGUAGGAAGCAAGCGUUAUCCGGAUUUACUGGGCGUAAAGAGAGCGUAGGCGGCUCUUCAAGUCGGUUGUGAAAUCUCCCAGCUUAACUGGGAGGGUGCGUCCGAUACUGUUGAGCUAGAGUGUAGCAGGAGAAGGUGGAAUUCCCGGUGUAGUGGUGAAAUGCGUAGAUAUCGGGAGGAACACCAGUGGCGAAGGCGGCCUUCUAGGCUAUGUCUGACGCUGAGGCUCGAAAGUGUGGGGAGCGAAC
rnacentral:rRNA from 1 species